rnacentral:rRNA from 1 species
UACGUAGGAUGCAAGCGUUGUUCGGAAUUACUGGGCGUAAAGAGUACGUAGGCGGUUUGAUAAGUCUGGUAUUAAAGACUGGAGCUUAACUCCAGGACUGUAGUGGAAACUGUCAGACUAGAGGACAAUAGAGGAAGUCGGAAUUCUCAGUGUAGCGGUGAAAUGCGUAGAUAUUGGGAAGAACACCAGUGGCGAAAGCGGACUUCUGGGUUGUUACUGACGCUGAGGUACGAAAGCGUGGGGAGCAAACGGG